UUCAUAGUUCAUAAUUCAUUUCACACACAUAAAUAUAAGUAUCAAACCAUGAAACAUAAGUCAUAAACGACAAAUUCAAUACAACCAAACAUAAAGUCAUGAACAUAAACAACACCACAAUUAUCACUUGAGUAGUUCACUCCAUCUAUUAUUCAUGCCCAUGGUUCCCAACUUCUGCCAAAUUCAGUACCACCAAGUUCAUUUACAUCACAGCCCACAUUAAGAACAUUUCUUUCCACAUUCUCUUCAUUAUUGGUCUCAUCUUCAUCUCC
rnacentral:lncRNA from 1 species